rnacentral:lncRNA from 1 species
UCAAAAGCUGGCAGUCGUAAACAGAAAUUAACGACCUUCUCUGUGAGAAGGUCGUAGAAUUCCACGACCAAAACAAAAGGUCAUUGAUUCUAUGACCUUCUGUUUUGGUCGCUACCUCUCUGCCCAGGCCACGUCGGAUCCGACGUGGCAAUCUGAUGUGGCGAAAUUGCGACCAAUUGAAAAGGUCGUUGAUAAGAUUCAGCCCGGUCCGAUUAGAUGUCUAUAUGGGCCGAGCCCAACAAUUUAGCCCAUUUAAUGUAUUUUUUUCUUGUUAAUUUUCACUAGCUACAUGGGCCUGGCCCAUUUUAUUUUCUAGGAUAUUGCCUUCUAUAAUUCAUUUCUUUUUUGGGCCUCGGCCCUUUUACAGUCCAAUCUAUUUUGGGCCUCCACAACAUACAUUUAGAAGCUUGACAUCUCAACAUGUACAAAUGUAUCCAAACCAUUUUAUUUCUUUCAACACAAAAGGAUUCAUUACACAGCCACGAUAAUAGAUAGUGGAUACAUUUGACAGAGACUGAAUUAACAUAGAAAUGAAGCAACAAAUGGCAGUCCGAGAAAAGGAACUACAUGGGACUACAACAACAUGGGACUAUAGCUACCAUUUCUAUUUCUACCAGCAUUUAUAGACGCUUGCAAGAGAGGGAGAGAGAUCAUCCAUCAUCAAUCAGUGACAGUAGCGACGUUCGAGAGACCCCCUCCCCCUGCUGCUGCUGCUUCGGGUGCCUGCUACUGCUUGCUGUGCCGCAUCACUAGUCGCCCUGCACACAAGAAUUUUAGCUUUACAUAAGGUUUACAAGAACAGGACCCUGAUACAUGAGAUUGACAUUGACAAGUUAUUUGCAUUUUUAUUAAGAACUGUGUCACACCAUUUACAUUACUAGUUAUGUAUUGACAUACUUAUCUAAAAGAACAUAUACAGAAACAUAUGAAUUUUAUUUCUGAAUACCAAUACAGAAGUACUAAAAAAACAAGACUAAAAAUCAGUAGAAGGUAACAAGAGCUCAUUACACAAGUUUUGCUAGCAAUUAGGGGACCCUGGUUCCUGUACUGACCACAUUGGGGCAUAUCCUACCCUACCAGUGGCUAAAUAAUGCAACUUUAUGACUGUCAAGUAGGCCUACAGAUCGAUGAUGGAGCAGACUCAAACAUUACAAACACAACAGCUGAUGACGCCAUGGAGCACGAUCUGAAUGUUGUUCCUCGUUUAUUAAACUUAAGGACAAGAAAAGCACUCAGGUUGCAUCUUUCGCAGACACGACAACAUACAUGAGCCAAAUUAACAAACAAGAGGUGCAGAUCUGGAACCAGUCGUCAUCAUCAAAUGAAGUGUUUCAUCACCGUGCACUGAUUGAAGGGCACAUGCUAACCUAUACCAAUGUUGAUGACCCCCACAAACAGACCACCAUGGCUCAACACACUGACCGGCUAGAGUCUUACCUUUGUUUUAGCCAUGGACGCUAGCUGUUGAGCAGAGCAGAGCAGCGGGAGGAGGACUGCCGCAGCAAGAAGAGGAGGUUCCUUGACUUGACGACCACCAGAUGUACAUCAUGCCUGCCCAGAGUAAAUAGAAGGAGAACGAGUGAGACAAUGCAGCGGGGAGAGACAGUGAAGAUAGUUCUUGAAGGUCAGAAGAUAAUACACCAAAUGUGCAUGAAAGACAAUACAGUAAACACCAUCUUG